ACUUGCAGGGCUAACCUAGUGCCUAUAGCUAAGGCAGGUACCUGCAUCCUUGUUUUUGUUUAGUGGAUCCUCUAUCCUUCAGAGACUCUGGAACCCCUGUGGUCUUCUCUUCAUCUAAUGACCCUGAGGGGAUGGAGUUUUCAAGUCCUUCCAGAGAGGAAUGUCCCAAGCCUUUGAGUAGGGUAAGCAUCAUGGCUGGCAGCCUCACAGGAUUGCUUCUACUUCAGGCAGUGUCGUGGGCAUCAGUAGAGACGGGGUUUCACCAUGCUGGCAAGGCAGGUCUCAAACUCCUCACCUCAGGUGAUCCGCCCACCUCGGCCUCCUAAAGUGCUAGGAUUACAGGUGUGAGCCCCUGCGCCCGGCCAAGGGGUGCCCGCCCCUGCAUCCCUAAAAGCUUCGGCUACAGCUCGGUGGUGUGUGUCUGCAAUGCCACAUACUGUGACUCCUUUGACCCCCCGACCUUUCCUGCCCUUGGUACCUUCAGCCG
rnacentral:lncRNA from 10 species